rnacentral:lncRNA from 1 species
GCGAGCACUUGAAAGAGAGAGGCAAUGGCAGAGACAAGAUUGAUUAAGAUCGAAGAAGAUCAGUGGAUGACUCCUCCUGAGGUAUGUAUAUUGGUUCUCAAGUUUUUCAUAUCUACAAUCGCUUUGAUAACCUGCCUCCUGAGGUAUGUACUUUGCUAAUUAGUCUACCAAUCUAUAUAGGGUUCAUAUAUUUACUUAUGUGAUUGUGCUAAACACACAGGUUCCAGCUUUUUCCCGACAAGCACAUCAAUUUUUUUCUCUAAAGGCCUUGGACAUCUCGCUCCAUCCUUCUGCGUCUUGGAUGCCAAGAACUUUUUUACUCUUAUUCUUAUCUCUUAAUUUAUCACAUCAAUGUAUGAAUUGCAGAGUCUGAUAACUGGGUUUUAUGAAUUUGGUUUGCAUCACUCUUUUUUUAUUUAUUUUAAUUUUACAUUGUAUUUUGGUUCAGACAUUAAAGCAC